AGAAGACUGCCAUUUCAACAGUGUUUGCACGUUCUAAUCGCAAGAGAAGGAAAUCACCAAUGAUGCGAAAUGCUCCAUUACCAAAGGUACUUUGUCAAGAGUAACAAACGAUAUCUGGGAGACGCUGAUGGACGCUGCGUCUAGUCAACGACCGUAGGUUGUGCACGGCUGCCGGAGCACCUUCGGGAAACGCUAACCGCCGACAGGUACUUCAGUUAGAUAAACCCCAGCAAAAGCAGCAAGAGAGUCUCGUAGGGUCACACCAAGGAUAACGGCAUUCCUGCUCGAGUCCCGGGUCUUCUCACCGAACUUCACUGAGCAUAAUGGUACAUUCCCUUUCCUUAACUUUGUGGGAGCCAAGGGUGAAAGACGACGCAGAGGGCACGUGACAGGCGGUCGGCGGAGAAAGAAGUCACGAGCUGGCGCGAGACAGUGCGUGCUGAGCGAGGCUGGAGCUGGGCAGGAACAUCGGAGCCGGGCUGCCUGGCUUGGAGCGGUCCACCAGCGAGGUUCAAACCGGACCGGUAGAAGCGGCGAGUCCUGGCCAUCUAGCCUAGGCCACGACGAUCCCGGGGUGGUUCCGCAGCGAGACUCGGGCAGUGAUAGCCCGGGACAGCCAGCCUACGCAGCGCUGGCAUGGGAAGGACGAUCCGCAGGCCUGGACACUGACUCUGACUGUGAGCUCUGAUCGACGGACGACAACAAGGGUCGGCGUGCCUGGACUGCUGGCUCUGAACGACGGGCAACCGUGAGCACCCCAGGAGCUACUAUCGCCCGAAGAUGUCACAGGUGGUCAUGAUUCUUUGAGGCAGCGGAAUUUCACCGCAGUGCAUCUUUAACACCUUCAGUUUCUUUUCUACUGCAAGCCUGGUACUACAGCUUGUGGCCCGUGUAGAAGAAUAGAGGGGUGAAACCAAGGCUCAAGUGACUGUGGACUCAUGGCCCUCAGACAGCUAGAGCACCAGACCAGGCACAGACCAGAGCCAUUUAUGCUCCACUUCUAGAGGACAUGUUGCAGUUUGAAACUACCAAGACUCAUGGAAGCUGCUGACAGGAGGCUGUUGAAGCCGUGGUCGCAAGGCACCCAUGACAUUGAAGUCUUCCAAACAAGGCACUAUGAAGGCAUGACUUGUAGCGGCACUGGAGCAAGCGACACGGUCCGGGUGAGCCGCAAGUGUAACUGUUACACUGUAAACAGGAAAUAUAGACAUGUGUCCGACAAAGCACAGACUCAUAAAACUUUCAUGUAGCAAUAAUAGUUUAAUUUAACUAAACAGUGCAUCAACAGAGCCUGACCCAAGAAU